rnacentral:rRNA from 1 species
UACGUAGGGGGCAAGCGUUGUCCGGAAUUAUUGGGCGUAAAGAGCGCGUAGGCGGUCCGAUAAGUCGGCUGUGAAAGUCCAGGGCUCAACCCUGGAAAGCCGGCCGAUACUGUCGGACUAGAGUCCGGAAGAGGCGAGUGGAAUUCCCGGUGUAGCGGUGAAAUGCGCAGAUAUCAGGAGGAACACCGAUGGCGAAGGCAGGUCUCUGGGCAUUAACUGACGCUGAGGAGCGAAAGCAUGGGGAGCGAACAGG